rnacentral:lncRNA from 1 species
CUAGAGUUAAUCGUGGGUAGGAGGAAUGCCUCCCUGAGGAGAACAGAAAACAUAAUCUCCAUAUGCAUCCCUCAUUAGAGAAGAACUGACCAUGGAUCAAGGAAGUUCAGAUGAGAAUCUUCAGAGGGAAUCCUUAAAGAAAUGACCUCCCCAUCUGAUGAGAGGUCUGACUUCCAUGGCAGAUGUGGUCUGGGGCAUGCACGGGAGAGCCUGUGAGAAGGAAUUGUGUAUCCUGCGUGGAAUAUGGCCACAUGGCACAAGCCCCUCCUGAUGAGGAGGGCAGAAACAAGAUGGAGGCUGGAACAAGAGCUGCAGUACAGGUGUGAGGACCUGAAGUGGGCAAGGCCUGAGGUCCUAAUGAGCCCUGAAGAGAAGAAAAGGGAUAAGAACACCCACUUGGCAUUUGUCUUAGGGAGAGGCUGAGAAAUGAACAGGAUAAAUGGGUGAGAACUGACGCACUCAGCUUUAGAAGAAAAAGCUCCAUUAACUUCUGCCACCCCCAUCCUAGCAUGUUCCAUUUCCCACAGUGUAACAGCCCUAAAAGGGAAAUUUGUCUAAACUGCCCUUUUAGCAAAAGAGGAGAAAAAAAGUGAUUACACUUCUAAAACUCCUGCCUCAUAUUUAGGAAUACCUCAAAGAUUCAGUGUUUAUUUUUUACUCUUACCCUAGUUAAGCAUGAAACUAAAUGAUUUGAGGACACCAUUCAACAUGAAACUUUGAGGUAAGGCAUACUUGACCAAUAAUGGAAUUUUAGCGUUGUUGAUGCAUUCUCUUUGGUAAGAGGAGUUUGCUUUGUCUUUUUGGACUAACUUUGAUUCAAUAAAGUAUAUAUACCUUCAUUCUUUGGAGGAAUUCUAAACCCUAACCUGUCCCAAUGCUUAGCUAGAGUUAGAUUUUUGAUAGUAUGGCUGUGUUUUGGGAUGGAAAUGAAAUGUAGGAAAACUGAUAUCUCCAUGUUAACAUUUUUUCACAUUUCUUUCCAAUAUGGUUAUACACACAACUCAGGAUCUUUGGGGUAUUCCUGACUCAUACCAUAGGUAAGCAUGAAACCAUGCUCAUCAAGAUAACCAUUCUCAUCCAUCCUUCGGAUGAGACGUAAAACCGAGGUCCUGACUCUCUGUGGUCAUUAAAAAUCCCUGGGCGUUUCUCGAAAAGAGUAAGGGUGUACCC